rnacentral:rRNA from 1 species
UACGGAGGGUGCAAGCGUUGUUCGGAAUCAUUGGGCGUAAAGCGCGUGUAGGCGGCUUGGCAAGUCGGUUGUGAAAGCCCGGGGCCCAACCCCGGAAUUGCAUCCGAAACUGCCUGGCUAGAGUUCCGGAGAGGAAGGCAGAAUUCCCGGUGUAGGGGUGAAAUCCGUAGAGAUCGGGAGGAAGGCCGGUGGCGAAGGCGGCUUUCUGGACUGACACUGACGCUGAGGCGCGAAAGCCAGGGGAGCAAACGGG